rnacentral:rRNA from 1 species
UACGGAGGGUGCGAGCGUUAUCCGGAAUUACUGGGUUUAAAGGGUGCGUAGGCGGCGCUGUAAGUCAGGAGUGAAAGUUUGCGGCUCAACCGUAAAAUUGCUUUUGAUACUGCGGUGCUGGAAUUAGGAUGAGGUCAGCGGAAUGUGGCAUGUAGCGGUGAAAUGCAUAGAUAUGACCCGGAACACCGAUUGCGAAGGCAGCCCGCUAAGCAACUAGUUGACGACUG